GGUUUAAGCCAAUCAGAGUGCUCUGAGUCAUUUUACACAGCGUUGGAAAAUUCAAAAGAACUGUUUUACUGGGGCCCCCACCCACCGCUCAGGGGUGGGGGCCAGGGGGGGAGGACAGUAGGUCCCCCCCUUAUUGUUUUAUUAGGGCCCCCACCCACCGCACCGGGGGGGACAGAAGACAGAAAACUUUGCAUGCAGAUGUCAUCCAUAUCAACUUUUGAUGCCAGUUUCUGCGCCUACCAUGGUGACCACGGGUAACGGGGAAUCAGAGUUCCAUUUCGUACAGGGACCCUGAGAAACGGCUACCACAUACAAGGAAGGCAGCAGGCGUGCAAAUGACCCACUCCCGACGUGGGAUGGUAGU